rnacentral:rRNA from 1 species
AGCCGCGGUAAUACGGAGGAUGCGAGCGUUAUCCGGAUUUAUUGGGUUUAAAGGGUGCGUAGGCGGUUUAUUAAGUUAGUGGUUAAAUAUUUGAGCUAAACUCAAUUGUGCCAUUAAUACUGGUAAACUGGAGUACAGACGAGGUAGGCGGAAUAAGUUAAGUAGCGGUGAAAUGCAUAGAUAUAACUUAGAACUCCGAUAGCGAAGGCAGCUUACCAGACUGUAACUGACGCUGAUGCACGAGAGCGUGGGUAGCGAACAGGAUUAGAUACCCUGGUAGUCCACGCCGUAAACGAUGCUCACUGGUUCUGUGCGAUAUAUUGUACGGGAUUAAGCGAAAGUAUUAAGUGAGCCACCUGGGGAGUACGUCGGCAACGAUGAAACUCAAAGGAAUUGACGGGGGCCCGCACAAGCGGAGGAACAUGUGGUUUAAUUCGAUGAUACGCGAGGAACCUUACCCGGGCUUGAAAGUUAGCGACGAUUCUUGAAAGAGGAUUUCCCUUCGGGGCGCGAAACUAGGUGCUGCAUGGUUGUCGUCAGCUCGUGCCGUGAGGUGUCGGGUUAAGUCCCAUAACGAGCGCAACCCUUACCGUUAGUUGCUAGCAUGUAAUGAUGAGCACUCUAACGGGACUGCCACCGUAAGGUGAGAGGAAGGCGGGGAUGACGUCAAAUCAGCACGGCCCUUACACCCAGGGCUACACACGUGUUACAAUGGCCGGUACAGAGGGCCGCUACCAGGUGACUGGAUGCCAAUCUCAAAAGCCGGUCGUAGUUCGGAUUGGAGUCUGUAACCCGACUCCAUGAAGUUGGAUUCGCUAGUAAUCGCGCAUCAGCCAUGGCGCGGUGAAUACGUUCCCGGGCCUUGUACACACCGCCCGUCAAGCCAUGGGAGCCGGGGGUACCUGAAGUGCGUAACCGCAAGGAGCGCCCUAGGGUAAAACUGGUGACUGGGGCUAAGUCGUAACAAGGUAGCCGUACCGGAAGGUGCGGCUG